GAUGAACGCUAGCUAUAGGCUUAACACAUGCAAGUCGAGGGACCGGCGCACGGGUGAGUAACGCGUAUCCAACCUGCCCAUAACUAAGGGAUAACCCAGCGAAAGUUGGACUAAUACCUUAUGGUUAUGGAUGGGGAUGCGUCUGAUUAGCUUGUUGGCGGGGUAACGGCCAACCAAGGCAACGAUCAGUAGGGGUUCUGAGAGGAAGUUCCACCAGAUGGUAACUGGGAAACGGGCCAAACUACUACGGGUGGAAGAAGGGAGGAACAUUGGUCAAUGGACGCAAGUAUGAACCAGCCAAGUAGCGUGCAGGAUGAAGGCCUAUGGGUUGUAAACUGCUUUUAUAUGGGGAUAGGUACCAUAUGAAUAAGGACCGGCUAAUUCCGUGCCAGCAGCCGCGGUAAUUC
rnacentral:rRNA from 1 species